rnacentral:rRNA from 1 species
UACGGAGGGGACUAGCGUUGUUCGGAAUUACUGGGCGUAAAGCGCACGUAGGCGGAUUUGUAAGUCAGGGGUGAAAUCCCGGGGCUCAACCUCGGAACUGCCUUUGAUACUGCAAAUCUCGAGUCCGGAAGAGGUGAGUGGAAUUCCUAGUGUAGAGGUGAAAUUCGUAGAUAUUAGGAAAGAACACCAGUGGCGAAGGCGGGC